UACGUAGGGUGCGAGCGUUGUCCGGAAUUAUUGGGCGUAAAGGGCUCGUAGGCGGUUUGUCGCGUCGGGAGUGAAAACCCAGGGCUUAACUCUGGGCUUGCUUUCGAUACGGGCAGACUAGAGGUAUGCAGGGGAGAACGGAAUUCCUGGUGUAGCGGUGAAAUGCGCAGAUAUCAGGAGGAACACCGGUGGCGAAGGCGGCGUUCUGGACUGCAACUGACACUGAGGCACGAAGGUCAGGGGAGCAAACGGG
rnacentral:rRNA from 1 species